rnacentral:misc_RNA from 1 species
CGGGAGCGAGAUUGUUGAUAAAAUAAUAGUGGCAACUGUGGCGGGAGCUCCUCCUCCUGCCGUGGCGUCACUUGGGAGUGGAGUGGAGCCAACGUUGAACAUUGACGCCGCACACCCCGACCAGCACACACACGCCUGCUGCACCUUCGUCAACCCUCGCGCGGGCUUCAACUACUCACUCACCUCUAAGGAACCUUGUAUCACCCACUACACCCAAAAAUACAAAAGAGGGUUGACGAAGAGCAAUUAUUGUAGAUCUGAGUCCAAUCAAGUAUACAAAUAAUUGCAAGCCACAAUUAAAGUGUGCUAAAGAAGUCAGUGGUCAUUAUUACUAGUGGACCAAGUAGCAUCUCUUGAUAAGAAGCCAUCGACCAAGACUGAAUACGAGGUCCACAGCAUCCCUCUUGGGAGUGUUACACCUCACGACCACAGCUGCUCGUCUCCAGGGAACACCCUACCAGCUAAUCACGCCAGACUCAACGUGAACGCAAACAAACAAGGAUCCGCUGUCAACAAAACGUUCUUAUAAACAAGUUGGGAGGAUCCGGCUGGGUGAUGGCAUCCACACCCAGAUGAUGUCCUGAUGUCCUCUGCCAUCAGUGUCCCGCCAGUCACCUCCCGGCUCCUGUACUAGCCAACACAAACCAGUUCGGGGACAACCGAGUCACCAUGAACGGCCAAGUCUGCCAUUAUUGGUACAACGCACCACACUUUAAAUUGACAACUCUGAGCAAUGUUUCAAUUACAGUUAUUCCACAGCGGCCACACUAGACACCUCUAGUGCCUGAGGUACGCCGAAAAUACGUCAAUAUAUACUAGCUAAAUUAUAUUAUAUAUAUAUA